CUGCGAAUGGCUCAUUAAAUCAGUUAUCGUUUAUUUGAUAGUACCUUACUACAUGGAUAACCGUGGUAAUUCUAGAGCUAAUACAUGCUAAAAACCUCGACUUCGGAAGGGGUGUAUUUAUUAGAUAAAAAACCAAUGCCCUCCGGGGCUCCUUGGUGAUUCAUAAUAACUUCUCAGAUCGCAUGGCCUUGCGCCGGCGACGGUUCAUUCAAAUUUCUGCCCUAUCAACUUUCGAUGGUAAGGUAUUGGCUUACCAUGGUUUCAACGGGUAACGGGGAAUUAGGGUUCGAUUCCGGAGAGGGAGCCUGAGAAACGGCUACCACAUCCAAGGAAGGCAGCAGGCGCGCAAAUUACCCAAUCCCGAUACGGGGAGGUAGUGACAAUAAAUACUGAUACAGGGCUCUUUAGGGUCUUGUAAUUGGAAUGAGUACAAUUUAAACCUCUUAACGAGGAACAAUUGGAGGGCAAGUCUGGUGCCAGCAGCCGCGGUAAUUCCAGCUCCAAUAGCGUAUAUUAAAGUUGUUGCAGUUAAAAAGCUCGUAGUUGAACCUUUGGCCUGGCUGGCGGGUCCGCCUCACCGCGUGCACUCGUCCGGCCGGGCCUUUUUCUUCUGGAGAACCGCAUGCCCUUCACUGGGUGUGUUGGGGACCGGACUUUUACUUUGAAAAA
rnacentral:rRNA from 1 species